UAAACAGUAAUUUGUUGUUUGGCAGCAUUUCACCAUAAAGUUACACUUUUCUUUACUGCGUUUGAACCCAAGUGGUGACCCAGAUACCGUACCUCCCUUCGUCCAACCGCGCACUUCUUCGGGUUGGCCGUCAGCUCCGCCUGUCUCAAGGACUCCAGCACCGCGGCCACUUGUUGCACAUGCGCCGCCCAGCUGUUGCUGUGGAUGAUAACGUCAUCCAGGUAGGCGGCUGCAUAUGCCGCGUGCGGCCACAGUACCCCGUCCAUGAGACGCUGGAACGUGGCUGGGGCUCCGAAGAACCCGAACGGAAGCAUCACGAAUUGGUACAAGUCGUAUGGAGUGGAGAAGGCCGUUUUCUCCCUGGACUCUGGCACACACACUUUGAUGAUUGUAAGGUCAGUUCAACAGCAAGCCCUGGAAGAGGGUCCCUCUUGCCAAAAUCUUCCCUUGGAUUUCUCCAAUGUUUCCUCUCUGGAGGAUUUUUGGAGUUUUUCAUGUUGACAAGAGGUUGCUGGUCUGACCAGAUAAAUUUCCUUCUUUUUUUGUUUAGUUUUUAAAUGUAACACACACUUUGAUGAUUGUAAGGUCAGUUCAACAGCAAGCCCUGGAAGAGGGUCCCUCUUGCCGACAUCUUCCCUUGGAUUUCUCCAAUGUUUCCUCUCUAGAGGAUUUUUGGAGUUUUUCAUGUUGACAAGAGGUUGCUGGUCUGACCAGAUAAGUUUCCUUCUUUUUUGUUAAGUUUUUAAAUGUAACACACACUUUGAUGAUUGUAAGGUCAGUUCAACAGCAAGCCCUGGAAGAGGGUCCCUCUUGCCAAAAUCUUCCCUUGGAUUUCUCCAAUGUUUCCUCUCUGGAGGAUUUUUGGAGUUUUUCAUGUUGACAAGAGGUUGCUGGUCUGACCAGAUAAGUUUCCUUCUUUUUUGUUAAGUUUUUAAAUGUAACACACACUUUGAUGAUUGUAAGGUCAGUUCAACAGCAAGCCCUGGAAGAGGGUCCCUCUUGCCGAAAUCUUCCCUUGGAUUUCUCCAAUGUUUCCUCUCUGGAGGAUUUUUGGAGUUUUUCAUGUUGACAAGAGGUUGCUGGUCUGACCAGAUAAGUUUCCUUCUUUUUUGUUAAGUUUUUAAAUGUAACACACACUUUGAUGAUUGUAAGGUCAGUUCAACAGCAAGCCCUGGAAGAGGGUCCCUCUUGCCGACAUCUUCCCUUGGAUUUCUCCAAUGUUUCCUCUCUAGAGGAUUUUUGGAGUUUUUCAUGUUGACAAGAGGUUGCUGGUCUGACCAGAUAAGUUUCCUUCUUUUUUGUUAAGUUUUUAAAUGUAACACACACUUUGAUGAUUGUAAGGUCAGUUCAACAGCAAGCCCUGGAAGAGGGUCCCUCUUGCCGAAAUCUUCCCUUGGAUUUCUCCAAUGUUUCCUCUCUGGAGGAUUUUUGGAGUUUUUCAUGUUGACAAGAGGUUGCUGGUCUGACCAGAUAAGUUUCCUUCUUUUUUGUUAAGUUUUUAAAUGUAACACACACUUUGAUGAUUGUAAGGUCAGUUCAACAGCAAGCCCUGGAAGAGGGUCCCUCUUGCCGAAAUCUUCCCUUGGAUUUCUCCAAUGUUUCCUCUCUAGAGGAUUUUUGGAGUUUUUCAUGUUGACAAGAGGUUGCUGGUCUGACCAGAUAAGUUUCCUUCUUUUUUGUUAAGUUUUUAAAUGUAACACACACUUUGAUGAUUGUAAGGUCAGUUCAACAGCAAGCCCUGGAAGAGGGUCCCUCUUGCCGAAAUCUUCCCUUGGAUUUCUCCAAUGUUUCCUCUCUGGAGGAUUUUUGGAGUUUUUCAUGUUGACAAGAGGUUGCUGGUCUGACCAGAUAAGUUUCCUUCUUUUUUGUUAAGUUUUUAAAUGUAACACACACUUUGAUGAUUGUAAGGUCAGUUCAACAGCAAGCCCUGGAAGAGGGUCCCUCUUGCCGACAUCUUCCCUUGGAUUUCUCCAAUGUUUCCUCUCUAGAGGAUUUUUGGAGUUUUUCAUGUUGACAAGAGGUUGCUGGUCUGACCAGAUAAGUUUCCUUCUUUUUUGUUAAG